rnacentral:lncRNA from 1 species
GAUCAUACUCUUCACAGAUAUCACUUUUCUCACUCGUCAGUGUUUGAGACUAGCAUACGGCUCUGACAACCUCGCGGCUGAGUCAUAAUUGCAAUAUCAAGCCUCACAGCGAGUGUGUGACAUGCCGCUGCGGCCUGGUGCCACCGCAGCCCGGUUUCUGUGUGGCAUUCCGCAGAUCCUCGCGACUUUCCAGUGGGGAGUGAGGCCUCACCAUAACUGUGAAGGGAAUGGCAACCACAAAGUGUCUUCAUUUUAGUGGCCGGCGGCUGGAGAACUGCACCAUGGAACUGUACAGUCGUGAAGGAGGACUGUUAGUGGCUUUGCUGCUGCAUCUGUGCCAGGCUCAAGAUGUCACACAGGAAACUAAUGAUAUGAAUGGCAUCGUCACCUCCAGGGACCCUUUGCUGGGGCCUGUGGAGCCCAAUCAGGAAACACUGAUACCUGGCAACGCUGCCAAGGCCCUUCCCCCUUUCCCCACCCAGAGUCCGGAGCAUGCAGACACUGUUGAACUGCUGGAGGAGCACACAGACCACACACGGCCCUCCUCUCCAGAAGUAUGGAAAAUUGGAGCGAUAGCAGCAGCGUUCUUCCUCAUUCUACAAACUGUCAUUACCGUCAUCUACAUUCUCAAGUGUAAAAGAAAGACUAGCAGUGGUGCAAGAAAAGACAAAGCAUGUGAGGAGGGAAAAGGAGGUGUUGAAAACAACAUGGCAAUGACAGAAACAAGCGUACCAGCAGAAGAACAAAACUCUUUGGACAGUCUGCCGAUAUACUCGAAGGUCCAGCAAGAGUCUAUCCCAAUGAAAACUAUCCCAGCAGACUCUACAGUGGUGUAAUCAUUAUAUGACCCAUCAACACCUUUGCUUUAGAACUGCUUAAACACCACUGACCAAUACAGACAUUGUUGACUGUCUGUAUCUUUGUGACUGUGGUUUACAACAGACUGUUGGUUUUACAUGUUUAUGAUAGUUUACUUGUGAUACGUUGUUUUAUUGUUGUAUUAUUUCUUGUUACCUUCAUCACGUAAUACUAAAUCUAUAUAGUUUAGUGUUGACAGUAUACUGUAGGUAUAUAUACACACUAUACAUCUGUACUGUAGUUGGUUGUGAUUUGAGUGGAUUAAAUAUUCUAUAAAAAAAAAAGGAAUGGUAAGAAUAAAGUAUGUCAGAUAAUUUG